rnacentral:rRNA from 1 species
GACGAACGCUGGCGGCGUGCUUAACACAUGCAAGUCGAACGAAGAGCGAUGGAAGCUUGCUUCUAUCAAUCUUAGUGGCGAACGGGUGAGUAACGCGUAAUCAACCUGCCCUUCAGAGGGGGACAACAGUUGGAAACGACUGCUAAUACCGCAUACGAUCUGACCUCGGCAUCGAGGAUAGAUGAAAGGUGGCCUCUACAUGUAAGCUAUCACUGAAGGAGGGGAUUGCGUCUGAUUAGCUAGUUGGAGGGGUAACAGCCCACCAAGGCGAUGAUCAGUAGCCGGUCUGAGAGGAUGAACGGCCACAUUGGGACUGAGACACGGCCCAGACUCCUACGGGAGGCAGCAGUGGGGAAUCUUCCGCAAUGGACGAAAGUCUGACGGAGCAACGCCGCGUGAGUGAUGACGGCCUUCGGGUUGUAAAGCUCUGUUAAUCGGGACGAAAGGCCUUUUUGCGAAUAGUGAGAAGGAUUGACGGUACCGGAAUAGAAAGCCACGGCUAACUACGUG